rnacentral:rRNA from 1 species
UCUCCGUAGGUGAACCUGCGGAGGGAUCAUUACAAGAACGCCCGGGCUUCGGCCUGGUUGUUCAUAACCCUUUGUUGUCCGACUCUGUUGCCUCCGGGGCGACCCUGCCUUCGGGCGGGGGCUCCGGGUGGACACUUCAAACUCUUACGUAACUUUGCAGUCUGAGUAAACUUAAUUAAUAAAUUAAAACUUUUAACAACGGAUCUCUUGGUUCUGGCAUCGAUGAAGAACGCAGCGAAAUGCGAUAAGUAAUGUGAAUUGCAGAAUUCAGUGAAUCAUCGAAUCUUUGAACGCACAUUGCGCCCCCUGGUAUUCCGGGGGGCAUGCCUGUUCGAGCGUCAUUUCACCACUCAAGCCUCGCUUGGUAUUGGGCAACGCGGUCCGCCGCGUGCCUCAAAUCGUCCGGCUGGGUCUUCUGUCCCCUAAGCGUUGUGGAAACUAUUCGCUAAAGGGUGUUCGGGAGGCUACGCCGUAAAACAACCCCAUUUCUAAGGUGACCUCGAUCAGUAGGANC